CCUACGGGAGACAGCAGUGAGGAAUAUUGGUCAAUGGGCGUAAGCCUGAACCAGCCAAGUCGCGUGAGGGAUGAAGGUUCUAUGGAUCGUAAACCUCUUUUAUAAGGGAAUAAAGUGUGGGACGUGUCCUGUUUUGUAUGUACCUUAUGAAUAAGGAUCGGCUAACUCCGUGCCAGCAGCCGCGGUAAUACGGAGGAUCCGGGCGUUAUCCGGAUUUAUUGGGUUUAACGGGUGCGUAGGCGGCCUUUUAAGUCAGCGGUGAAAGUCUGUGGCUCAACCAUAGAAUUGCCGUUGAAACUGGGAGGCUUGAGUAUGUUUGAGGCAGGCGGAAUGCGUGGUGUAGCGGUGAAAUGCUUAGAUAUCACGCAGAACCCCGAUUGCGAAGGCAGCCUGCCAGGCCAUGACUGACGCUGAUGCACGAAAGCGUGGGGAUCAAACAGGAUUAGAUACCCGGGUAGUC
rnacentral:rRNA from 1 species